rnacentral:rRNA from 1 species
CCUACGGUGUGCAGCAGUGGGGAAUAUUGCACAAUGGGGGGAACCCUGAUGCAGCGACGCCGCGUGAGUGAAGAAGUAUUUCGGUAUGUAAAGCUCUAUCAGCAGGAACGAGACAAGACGGUACCUGACUAAGAAGCCCCGGCUAACUACGUGCCAGCAGCCGCGGUAAUACGUAGGGGGCAAGCGUUAUCCGGAAUCACUGGGUGUAAAGGGAGCGUAGACGGCUGAGCAAGCCUGAAGUGAAAGGCGGGGGCCCAACCCCCGGACUGCUUUGGGAACUGUACGGCUGGAGUGCAGGAGAGGUAAGUGGAAUUCCUAGUGUAGCGGUGAAAUGCGUAGAUAUCACGAAGAACCCCGAUUGCGAAGGCAGCUUACUAAACUGUGACUGACAUUGAUGCUCGAAAGUGUGGGUAUCAAACAGGAUUAGAUACCCGAGUAGUC